UAAGUCGGUAGUGAAGCGUGUGGCUCAACCAUAUACACAUUACCGAACUGCUGAGCUAGAGGACGAGAGAGGUUAUUGGAAUUCCCAGUGUAGGAGUGAAAUCCGUAGAUAUUGGGAGGAACACCGAUGGCGUAGGCAGAUAACUGGCUCGUUCCUGACACUAAGGCACGAAAGCGUGGGGAGCAAACGGGAUUAGAUACCCCGGUAGUCCACGCCGUAAACGAUGGAUGCUA
rnacentral:rRNA from 1 species